CUUUCCCCACGACCCUGAUCUCCACUGCCGUUCCUCCUUACCCAUCCUGAUUUACUGUCGUUCUCAACGCCGGCCGCUUUGCCUGCUUCCGGAGCCUACCAUCGAGAUGGUGUGGACCGCACCGGAGAGCGCUGCCGCCCGGAACUCCUCGGUCAUCGCUAAUCUAGGCGGCUUCGUCAGCUGAGGAGCGACGACUUGGCCUCUGCCGCUGCACGCCGCCGGCCGGGGCCGCGUUGGCAGCAUGGAGGACGAGGUUGGGCCGACUCUAAGGUUGGCGGGGAAGGAGAGGCAGCAACGCUAGCUGCAGAACUCGGGGCCCGGCCGAACCGAGGGUGUCGUCGAGAUUCUCGAUGGUAAUCUCUGACGGAGGAUCCAGUGAUGGUGAAAUCCUACAGAGAUGGUCUUACGACAAGCUCCAUCCACCAGCGGCUAGACGGCGAGACCAGACUGCGACGGCGUGUCCACCCCGGUGCUAGGCGGAGCAAGGUGGACGCCCUCCUCCCCCCCUCCCCAGCUCUUGAAUUGGCGACCAUGGGGAAGGAAGGACGGACAACCGCAGCAGGGUGUGGUAGGAUUGCAUCCUCAAUCUCCCCCCUCUCCCUGCGCGCUGCGCCGGUCGCUCUCAGUGGAGGAAGCAUCCAAUUAGGUGGUGGUGGCUCCGACGGUUUGGGUACAACACGUCUGGUUGCAGAGAGGCAGGUGAUUAGAGUAGAAGCCGGCAAGCGGCGUCCGGAGAUUGCGCAAUGACCAACAAGUGGCUGAUGCUUGCACAUGGAAUGCUCUCUCUGAAGUUGUUCAAGACAAAGCACUGGGGUCAAUAAGUUGUGGCAAUUGGGGCGCAGGAGGAGGAUUAGCAAGAGUCUGCUGGAUUGCUUUCAUUAUGGUGGUGAUAUGUUCAAUAGCAUUGGUGAAACUACUCUUAGGCUGCUUCAUCGUCUUAGUGGGUGAUUUCACAUCUCUAGGUCGCUUCUUACCAGCCUGGUGUUUCUUAGAUGAGCCAAUUCCACCACUUGCUACCACUUUACUACUUGGAGGGGCUGGUAUUGUAUCAGAAUCAUUACCUU